rnacentral:rRNA from 1 species
GAUGAACGCUGGCGGCGUGCCUAGUACAUGCAAGUCGAGCGAACGGACGAGAAGCUUGCUUUUCUGAUGUUAGCGGCGGACGGGUGAGUAACACGUGGAUAACCUACCUAUAAGACUGGGAUAACUUCGGGAAACCGGAGCUAAUACCGGAUAAUAUUUUGAACCGCAUGGUUCAAAAGUGAAAGACGGUCUUGCUGUCACUUAUAGAUGGAUCCGCGCUGCAUUAGCUAGUUGGUAAGGUAACGGCUUACCAAGGCAACGAUGCAUAGCCGACCUGAGAGGGUGAUCGGCCACACUGGAACUGAGACACGGUCCAGACUCCUACGGGAGGCAGCAGUAGGGAAUCUUCCGCAAUGGGCGAAAGCCUGACGGAGCAACGCCGCGUGAGUGAUGAAGGUCUUCGGAUCGUAAAACUCUGUUAUUAGGGAAGAACAUAUGUGUAAGUAACUGUGCACAUCUUGACGGUACCUAAUCAGAAAGCCACGGCUAACUACAUG